GUGACAUGUUGGAGAAGUUUCAACCUGUUCUUAGCCUCCCUGUGUGACUUCGGAGCUGCACUCGUAACACUGAAGAUAGACUUUCUUCUCCCCAUGGAUUUAGACCUCUGUUCUUUUCUUUUCAAGCAAGAGUGAAUUUAGCAGUUCUUCUGAUCUGGGUUUUUUUCCCCACACCCAGAAUUUGCUUUGGUAAAGAUAGCCUGGCAAGUCAGGAAGGACACCACCCCGAUGCCUAAAGAACAUCACGUGAUGUUGUCUUCCUACGGGAGAAUAAAAACUGUUAAACACACAUCCACUGGGGCCUCGCAGCCUUUCAAGGGGAGCAUCGGAAG
rnacentral:lncRNA from 1 species